CCUUUCCGUCCAGCCCCGCGCCAGCCCAAGCGCAGCCCCCGGGGUGGCUCAUUUCGGCAGGGUCUUCAAGUGGGCUGGCUGAGACUUGCAUCUUCCUUCUUGGGCUAUGGUGCAUUAUUAAAGAGAUAGUGGUGGUAAAACCCUUAGCGCCUGGCAUAUUGUAGGCGCUAAGUGUUGGCUGAAUACACCCUGCAGGGUGUUAUGAAUUCUACUGCCAUUAUCUCAUCUGAUCUUUACACAGUCCAAUAAAACAACCAUCAACUAGGAUUACGAGCUCCCUUUUACAGAUGAGGAGAUGGAGGUGCGAUGAGAUCAACAGACACCACGCUGCCCCACUGACUUCUGCAGGCCCAGCCUCUGCCAUACUCUUUGGAGUCCUUGAAUAGCAAACCCUCGCCUGGCUCGCCUCGUGAUAGCUCUGUGACCUCUGAGGCUAGGAGCAAAAGGCCAUGAAGGCUGUACAUGAUAGUUCACACCUGUAAUCCCAGGCCGAGAUAGGAGGAUCACUUGAAGCCAGGAGCUUAAAACGAGACUGGUCAACAUAGCAAGACUCCCAUCUCUACAGAAAAAUUUCAGAAUUAGCCAUGCAUGGUGGCACGUGCCUAUAGUGCCAGCUACUCAGGAUGCUGAAGCAGGAGGAUUGUGUGAGCCCAGGAAUUGGAGGUUACCGUGAACUAUGCGCCACUGCGCUGCAGCCUGGAUGACAAAGCGAGAUCCUGUUUCUAUUAAACAACAACCAAAAAAGGCCAUGAAGCUGCCGCCCUGUUCAUGAGAUCACUGCUGUGGGAGCCUUGAGCUGCCAGGGACGAAGGUGCAGCUGCGGCAUGAGAUUUGGGUCAUUGUUCCUGGCUUUGGGGCCUCCAGAACUGGUUCUCAGGCUCUCAUGGAUCUGUGAGCUACAGAAGAACCUUGUACUAAAUCCUGCAGCUUUUCCAGCACCUAAAACAGUGUCUGGAAAUGGCAGGCACUCAAUACAUAUUUGUUGAAAAUGGAAAGAGAGUUGGACUCGAUGUCAGAAGACCUGAGUCCUACUCACAGCUCUCCUGCAGAAUAGUUGUGGAGUCUUUGGCAAGACACAACCUCUUUGUGCCUCGGUUGCCUCCUCUGCAACCUAGGGAUGAUCAUCUGGGCCCUCCCCGGUGGAUGGCAGGCGUGCAAUGAAGAUCAAACGUGGGUCUCCAACUUUAGCAUGCAUCAGAAUCACCCAGAGGGCUUGUUAAAAUAUAGGUUGCUGAACCCACACCCAGAAUUUCUGAUUCAGUAGAUCUUGGGUAGGGCCAGAAAAAUCUGCGUUUGUAACAGUGUUGCAGCUGGUGAUGGUGCUACUGCUGUGUGGGACACACUUCAAGGACCGCUGAUAAAGAGAGAGAAGGUAUUUCAUUUUCUUUGUGACCAUUGUAAAUGAGGUUGUGUUCUUAAUUUUGUUCUCAGCUAGAAUGUUAUUGGCAUAUCAAACUGCUAUUGCUUUUUAUACAUUGAUUUUCUGUCCUGAAACUUUACUGAAUUUGUUUAUCAUUUCCAGGAGCCUUUUGGCAAACUCUGUAGGGUUUUCUAUGUAUAGAUUCAUACUCUCCGCAAAGACAGAGUGUUCGACUUUUUCUUUUCCUAUUUGAAUGCCUUUUAUUUCUUUCUCUUACCUGGUUGUCUGGCUAGGACUUCCAGUACUAUGUUGAAUAGGAGUGGUGAGAGUCUUCUUCCAGCUUUUGCCUGUUUAAUAUGAUGUUGGCUAUGGGUUUGUCAUAGAUGGCUGUUAUUAUUUUGAGGUAUGUUCCUUCAAUGCCUAAUCUGUUUUGAAGAUUUUUAUUAUAAAGGGAUGUUGGAUUUUAUUGAAGGCCUUUUCUGCAUCUAUUGAGAUGAUUAUAUGGUUUUUGUUUUUGAUUCUGUUUAUAUGGUGAAUCACAUGUAUUGAUUUGCGCAUGUUGAGCCAACCUUGCAUUCCAGAAAUAAAGCCUACUUGAUCAUGGUGAAUUGA